CCCGCUCCGGAUUACUCAGCCCGGGGUCGACUCACUUUGCUGUGCUGCUCGGAGUUCCCACCCAGCUUUGGGGGUGUGGGGCCCGAGAGAAAACACACACAAAAGCCGGUCGGUGGUGACUCAGGCUGGGCGGCAGGAAUCGGCUCCUGUUCCCGGAGCCCGAGGGGACAGCAGGGCCUUGGCCCAGGUGGCUUUGUGUCGGCUGCGUCCCCGGGCGGUGAGUCAGCCCGUUGAAGACUCCCUGCCCCACGGGGACAGCCUCAGCCAUGCCGUCCCAGGUCCCCCUUGGGAUGCAGCAGUGGGGAUCUACACGCCUGGCUCUUGGCAGGAGAGCUGGUUCCUGGCCUGGCUCUGCCUCGCUCACUGUGUGACCUGAGACCCCUCACCUGCCCUCUCUGGGCCUGUUUCCCCUCAGCAAAGUGACCAGGCUGGGCUGGGUGGUCUUGGAGUCCCUUCUAGUUCCACAGACUCGAUCUCUCUCUCUCUCUCCUGGAGGCUGCCUUUGAGCCCCUAGGACCCCCAGAAGUGGUGUGCACCAUGGAACCAGCCCGCCCCGUGGAGCUGGCCAGGUGGCAGCUUCAACCCCGGCUCUGCCCCUUAUAAGCUGCAUGGCAUAGGCAGUCCUCUGAGCCCCAGGGGUUUCUAUCUGCAAAAGGGGAGGACACACCACCAGCCACAGAGGAACAUGCAUGAAGGACCCCUCUGGCCCCUCCCCGAUGGCCAGCUCUGACCCUCGCCAGCUCCUUCAGCCCCCCACCCUUUUUGCCAGCACAGAUGCCCCUCACCUACCCCCUCAAGCCCACCUCUUCCCGGCACCUCCCUCUCACACCCCUGCCCUUUUCUCUGUACUUCUGAGCAACCCACCUCGAAUACAUUGCUCCACCUAAUCACUGGGACCCACUAUACACGGUGAUGGGAGGGGGUCCCUGUCCUGCUACCAGUGCCAUGAGGGACCCCUGACCACACCAUGGGCUUUCGAGACCCCACACUGUAUCCAGGGCUCAGUUCCCAGCAGUUUUCUCUCAAGUGUCCACAGAUUCCUAGCUGGGCUCUCUUAUUCCGUUGAGAGAGGUGGGAAGGUGGCUCUCUGGUCACCUGCCACGCUCAGGUGUUGUAUAGAGUGCCCUAAUGUGCCACACAGUUCCCUGGGGGGGGGGGGGCCUGUUCCUGCCACUAGUUCACAGACAGGGAGCUGGGAGGAUAAGGGGGCUCCCCAAGACCCUAGUCAAUGGGGAGCUGAGGUUGGAACCCCUGUCUGUCCGUUUGUCCAGCUUGAGCCCUUUCCACCAUCCUGCGCCACUCUCUCUAUGCAUCCCCAACAUACAUCUUUGUCUUGAACUCAUCCUGUGAAGUAGAGGGAAACCAAGAGAGGGGGCGAUUCCCCUAAAGUCACUAGCCUGGAACUAGAACCGAGCUCAGGCCAUCUCUGAAACCGGACAAGGAACGGGUCCAGGCUGCCUGUCACUACUUGAGCCAAUGGAGCAGGCCCAGGGUUGGAUCAUGUAUGAGUGUUUAUUCCAAUACUGCCGGCAGUAUGGGAGAGCAGCAGGCCAUCCAUGAAAAUCUGCUCUGCACCCCUCCAUAUGCUUAUACGGGGAAGAAGGACAAAGAUUACCUGGGAAAGUAGGAAUGACAGAGAUGGGGAAGCGGGCAAGGUAUAGUGUAACGGUUACAGGUUACAGGCAAUGCAGGCUGGUGGUCGCAAAGGGAGGGCACCUCCAGGACCAGAUUGUUUUGGCAACAAGCUUGUUAAACUUUCCAUGAUGAUAGGCAGCUCUGGAAGAGAGGAAUGGACGCAUUCCGAGGUUGACUCCCAUGUCCCGGGGCAUACAACUCUCAGCCAGGUCAGAAUGUGCUUUCUCUAAUCAGAACAGAACAAUCGCGAAUAACAGAGCAUGAUUAAUGUGUCUUACAGCUAUCGCGAGGACCCACUGUUCUAUGUCUGCCCCUAACAACCCCACUCUCCCACAGUGUCUUAGAGGCAGGGACCAAGGCGUGUCUAGGCUCAGCCUCCUCCCUGGAAGGAGCUCUGCCCACAGUGGGCAUGACCUCGGCCCAAGGGCUGGAGGCAGGAUUGGGAGGGUCUAUACCCAAAGUCAGAGGCCUCCUCGGGGUGGUCUGAGGGGUGACCCACAGAGCUGGCCACUGCCCUUGCUCGGAAGUGCCUCUGUCAAGGUGAGGAGCAGAGAGGGCCUGCCUCAGCCUGAGCUCUGCUGGGCGAUACCACCUUGAAACUCUCUGCCUCAGCAGAGCCAGGCUUUGCCACAGCAGCAUGGUGCUCCGUCAGUCAUUGGCUUGUGGGCACAGGGCCCAGUGGUAUUAGCAGAGCUGGGGCCCAGCACACGCCUUUAGGACUAAGCCUGGGAGAUGCUCCCUCCCUCCCCACACCCCGCAAAUGGGUAAAGGGGCCUUGGAAUUUUGGACAAAAAAAAAUCCUACCAUCCCAGGUGUCAGGGUGGGCCUGGAGGUCAGGGCCGACUACAGACUCAUCACCCUCAGAACUGGAAAUGACCUUUGAGGUCACCACAGGCCACCAAGCUCCCAUCAAAGAGAGUGAGAGACUUUUCCCAGGUUACACAGCAUGGAGGCCGAGGAGCAGGGACUCGAACCCGGCUCUGGGAGCUUUCCCUCUUGGUCCCCAGCACAGCCUCCACCUCCUUUCUAAUUGGAUCACCUUCCCUCCCCCAUCCCUGCAGGUGCAGGGAGGGGUGCACACAGGCCCAGCGCUGAAGGUCCAGGGAGCUGCCUGGGCUGAGAAGCUGCAGGAAUAAAGUUGCUGACCAGCCCAUCGAACCACUCAGUCACACCACAGACCAAGCACCCACCACAUGCCCGGCAUUGGGGGCGCAGGGGGUGGGGGAGAUGUGACAUAGUCUCUGACCUUGGACCUUAUGAUUUGACCCGGGAGAACACUGAGGUGGGAAUAGCACCGAGUGCAGGAAACCCUGAGAUGCUCUGCCCUCAGGAUGCAGCUGGAUUCACAAACCUGACUGAUCACCAGCAUCCUAUCCAGAUCCCUGGGCCCUGCUCCAGCACACUGCCCAGCAUCAGCCCACUGCACCAGCAUCAGCACACUGCAUAGCAUCAGCCCACUGCACCAGCAUCAGCACACUGCAUCAACAUCAACAACCCACUGCAUCAUCAGCCCACUGCAUCAACAUCUGCCUACUGCAUCAGCAUCAGCCCACUGCACAGCAUCAGCACACUGCAUCAACAUCAACAACCCACUGCAUCAUCAGCCCACUGCAUCAACAUCUGCCUACUGCAUCAGCAUCAGCCCACUGCACAGCAUCAGCACACUGCAUCAGCAUCAGCCCACUGCACAGCAUCAGCAGGACAAGGCAGGUGCUAGGACUGUUUUCUUUCUGGUAACCAGCCAGACUUGGGGGGGGAACAGCAGGGGAAGGAGGCCCCAGGGAGCCUGAGGAAAGAGAAGAGGGGGCUGCAGGGCCCUCAGCUCCUGGUGGCAGCCAGAUCCAUGGGCUCCGGGGGAGGAUGAAGAGAGAAGAGGCUGGAUGAGCCAGGACAGAGCAGUCUGGAGCCAGGCAAGCAGGGACCAGAUACUGGACAAGUCUUUGUGCCUCUCUGGGCCUCAGUUUUCUUCUCCUACUUCACAGGCAUGUUAGAGGCGAAAUAAAUAAAGCACCUAGCACAGA